GAUUUGGGUUAGUGAUAAGUCAGUCGCGAACGUUUCGGUUCUUAGAGCCGGUUCUUUGAAGAGAACGACUGGAGCCAGACAGGUGUUUUGUCAGGUCAGCGUACUUCUACCAUACGUUUUUUCUGAGUACGCAUGCGCAUUAGACAUGGACAACAGCUGUCAGUUUUGCUUACGCGACAAGAUACGACAGAAAACAGGUUAAUUGUUUUAAUGGCGACCUGGUCCUGGUUUCAACGCGGGUUCAACGCUGCAGCUGCUGUUACCUACAGAACUGGUUCCGAUUCGGAAAAUGGCUAAAGGGCGAUUCCACCUCAUUUUCACUACCUUCCAUCUUUAAUGGAUUCUAGUUUAAAAACUGCAACAACUGGACUCUUUAAACCUGGACUGGACUCUUUAAAACCUGGACUGGACUCUUUAAAACCUGGACUGGACUCUUUAAACCUGGACUGGACUCUUCAAACCUGGACUGGACUCUUCAAACCUGGACUGGACUCUUCUGCUCUAAUAACACAAUAUUUAGAUCCAUGUUUGGGAUUUAUGAAACUUCACUCAAGUUUAGAUUACUAUUCACACUUGUUCCAUGCACAAAUUCAAAACCACUUUAUUAAUCUCAAUGGGAAAUUAAAUGUUGGUAUAACUAAUUAAUUCUUCAGUUAUUGUAGAUGGUGAUGGCUGUGGAAGGAAAAACCUUCUGCAGUGGGCUGUGAAGUAAAGUUUCACAAAUCAGAAAAAAGUUUCACUGGUGAAUGUUAAACCAUGCAAUAUAUUUCUCAUAAUGUUUUAUUUCUAAGGUAGGCUCUGUGAUAAUCUAAGUCCAUAUUAAAAAUGUUCAAACUUUCCACUAAAUCUGGGUGAGCCUUCCUAGCAGGGCUGAACCCGCAUUUCACCAGUGGACAUAAACACAGUAUAGUAAUAUUCUGAUGAUAAAAUAUCAACAAUAUGAAGUUAAAUAAUAGUCCAUUGAUGUGAACAAAGUAUCCGCAGUGCUGAGGCUUCUGCUGCUUCGGCUUAGUCAAGAUGGCCGCCGUGUUUCCUGCAGCCAUGUUAGGGUGGGACUGGUGCAGAAUCAACAACCUGCUCCUAAACUCAACAAGACCAAAGACAUCACUGAGGAGGUCUGGACCCAACCACACUCCUCUCCUCAUCGGUGGAGAUCGUCAGCGAUCACAUCACAGACGGCCUCGCCUGGACAACUUGCAUCACUUCACUGGUGAAAAAGGCACAGCAGCGCCUGCACUUUCCGAAAUGAAUGAGAAAGACUUCCCUCCUCCUCCCAUCUUCUCCACCUUCUGCAGAGGGUAACUGAGAUCCUGCUGACCAGCAGCAUCUCCAUUUGGUCUGGGAACUGCAACUUGUCAGACUGGAAGUCUCUGCGGCGUGGUGAAGACAGCAGUCGGGAUCGUCAGGACCAGAGAUCACCAGAUCCUCUCUGACUCCACCCAUCCUCAUCCGGUUGGCGCCUGGGUGGAGGUUCUGUAGCAUCCGCUGCAGAACAGCCAGACUGGCCAUCAGAUUGCUCAUCAAUCCCGUCACUAAGACUGCUUGAAAAUACCAAGUUACAUAUUUAGCAAUACAUUAUUAUUUGUAUGUCAUGUAAUUAUUAGCACACUUGUGUUUUUGCAUUCUUGCUCCGGUGGCCAAGCCAUGACAUUUCAUUGCCAAUUUCACUUCUGUGAAAUAUGACAAUAAAACAAAUCUAAGUCACUGUGGGUCUACUCUUAUGUCUGUGAUGUUCAGGGUCCAGUUCCUGCAGCGGUUCUGCUGAACCUGUCCUGGUUCUGCAGAACUGAUGUGUGACGUGGAGCGCCGCCCACCUGGAAGUGAUGUAACAAAAGGCCGACUGAAGCUCCGCCCCCAGCAGUCUGUUCACAGAGGCGGGGCUGUGACAUAACCGGACCGAGGCGUGUUCUGAUCCGGGCUGGUCGGCGCUCCCCGAUUCCUCACCUGACCCACCUUUGUGAUGUGACUCUGUUGCACAGGAAGCAAAACUCGGCCUGAUUUACAUCUGGAGCUGCAGCGCCUCCUGCUGGCUGGAGGUCUCCUGGGAUACAAAGCAGCAGAUGGAGAACUAAUUGGAACAACACACUGAAGCAAACUGACUGCUGAUCGUGUCACCCUGGGAGCCAAUAGGAAGCCAGCUUUUAGGGCUCAGCUGAUGACUCUCCCCCUCAGGCUGGCUCCUCUUCUAGAAUAAGACCAAACCGGGUCAGCGGUUCUGUUCUACUCUGAUGGUUAUGGAGCUGCUGGCCGGAUCUCCUAAAACAUUUUAAUGAAACCCAAAAAGAUUUUCCUUCCACUAAUAAGAGUUGAAGCUUGGUUCUGUUAGAACCCUGGUCCUGGAAACGUGUUCUGAUUGGUUCUGUAACGUUACGUUCUCUGAAUAAACAUCCAUCCAUUUUCUCACCCCUGGUCCCAGUGGGUGCGGAGGAGCUGCUGCCUCUCCAGCAACGUUCCAGGCAAGAGGUGAGUCGCCUGGACGAGUCGCCUGGACGAGUCGCCUGGACGGGUCGCCAGUCUGUCACUGUGAAUAAACGUUUAUGAAAUAAUC